ACGCACGCUGGCGGCGUGCUUAACCCAUGCAAGUCGAACGGAAAGGCCCCUUUGGGGGUACUCGAGUGGCGAACGGGUGAGUAACACGUGAGUAACCUGCCCUUGACUUCGGGAUAACUUCAGGAAACUGGGGCUAAUACCGGAUAGGAAUCCUUGCUGCAUGGUGGGGGUUGGAAAGCUUCGGCGGUUUUGGAUGGACUCGCGGCUUAUCAGCUUGUUGGUGGGGUAGUGGCUUACCAAGGCUUUGACGGGUAGCCGGCCUGAGAGGGCGACCGGCCACAUUGGGACUGAGAUACGGCCCAGACUCCUACGGGAGGCAGCAGUGGGGAAUAUUGCACAAUGGGCGGAAGCCUGAUGCAGCAACGCCGCGUGCGGGAGGACGGCCUUCGGGUUGUAAACCGCUUUCAGCAGGGGCGAAGCUUGUGGUGACGGUACCUGCAGAAGAAGCACCGGCUAACUACGUG
rnacentral:rRNA from 1 species